GGUGUCAUGGCUCAAUGGUAGAGCGCUCACCUAGCAUGUGUGAGGUCCUGGGUUUGAACCUCAUUACCG
rnacentral:tRNA from 1 species